CGAUUCUAAAGUGGGUUUUGGAAACAGGUGUCAGCCAAGCAUGGAUUCUAUUUUUCUUUUCUUUUCUCUUUUCUUUCUUUUCUUCUCAGUCUUGUAUUCUCAGUCUCGUGUUCAAUCGAAACACACCAAGAACAAUUGAAACCCGUAGUCGGGUUCCCCAUCAUCAUCACUUCUCCGUCUCGUCUUCUCUGUCUCGUCUUCUCCGUCUCAUCCUUCUGCUUUCUGUAAGUGUGUAUUUUUGUCGAUGAGGGUUUUGAUUGAUCUAGUGUUUAAAGCUCAAUCCCUUUUUUUUUUAAUUUUGCUAUCAGGAGAUCGAAGAGAGGAAGAUGAAGAUAAUGACCUGGCCUUAGGCAACGAGUUUACUAUUGGAUAUACUUGACUUACAAGAUAACUACAAAUCUAGAUUAUCUUAGCUGUACAUAUUC
rnacentral:lncRNA from 1 species